rnacentral:rRNA from 1 species
AUGAACGCUGGCGGCGUGUCUUAGGCAUGCAAGUCAAGGGGGCGUAGCAAUACGCAACCGGCAGACGGGUGAGUACGACAGUGGUAAACUACCUUGGAGUCGUGAACAACCUUGCGAAAGCGAGGCUAAUACACGAUGGUCGAAGAGAGACUAUGUUUUUCUUCGUAAAGAAUCUCGCUCCAAGAGGUGCCUUUGGCCUAUCAGCUAGUUGGUGAGGUAAUAGCUCACCAAGGCUAUGACGGGUAGCGGGUGUGAGAGCAUGACCCGCCUCAGUGGGACUGAAACACUGCCCACACUCCUACGGGAGGCUGCAGUCGAGAAUUUUCCGCAAUGCACGAAAGUGUGACGGAGCGACGCCGCGUGCAGGAAGACGCUUUUCGGAGUGUAAACUGCUUUUAUUAGGGAAAAAUCAGCGAUGGUACCUAAUGAAUAAGAGGUUGCUAACUGCGU